rnacentral:rRNA from 1 species
GACGAACGCUGGCGGCGUGCUUAACACAUGCAAGUCGAACGGAAAGGCCCUGCUUUUGUGGGGUGCUCGAGUGGCGAACGGGUGAGUAACACGUGAGUAACCUGCCCUUGACUUUGGGAUAACUUCAGGAAACUGGGGCUCAUACCGGAUAGGAGCUCCUGCUGCAUGGUGGGGGCUGGAAAGUUUCGGCGGUUGGGGAUGGACUCGCGGCUUAUCAGCUUGUUUGUGGGGUAGUGGCUUACCAAGGCUUUGACGGGUAGCCGGCCUGAGAGGGUGACCGGCCACACUGGGACUGAGAUACCGCCCAGACUGCGACGGGAGGCAGUAGUGGGGAAUAUUGCACAAUGGGCGGAAGCCGGAUGCAGCAACGCCGCGUGCGGGAUGACGGCCUUCGGGUUGUGCACCGCUUUCGAAUGUGACGAAGCGUGCGUGACGGUAACGGGUAAAGAAGCACCGGCUAACUACGUG